rnacentral:rRNA from 1 species
AGUGAACGCUGGCGGUAGGCCUAACACAUGCAAGUCGAACGGCAGCACAGUAAGAGCUUGCUCUUACGGGUGGCGAGUGGCGGACGGGUGAGGAAUACAUCGGAAUCUACUUUUUCGUGGGGGAUAACGUAGGGAAACUUACGCUAAUACCGCAUACGACCUACGGGUGAAAGCAGGGGAUCUUCGGACCUUGCGCGAUUGAAUGAGCCGAUGUCGGAUUAGCUAGUUGGCGGGGUAAAGGCCCACCAAGGCGACGAUCCGUAGCUGGUCUGAGAGGAUGAUCAGCCACACUGGAACUGAGACACGGUCCAGACUCCUACGGGAGGCAGCAGUGGGGAAGAUUGGACAAUGGGCGCAAGCCUGAUCCAGCCAUACCGCGUGGGUGAAGAAGGCCUUCGGGUUGUAAAGCCCUUUUGUUGGGAAAGAAAAGCAGCCGGCUAAUACCUGGUUGGGCUGACGGUACCCAAAGAAUAAGCACCGGCUAACUUCGUG